AUUGAACGCUGGCGGCAUGCUUUACACAUGCAAGUCGAACGGUAACAGGCCGCAAGGUGCUGACGAGUGGCGAACGGGUGAGUAAUGCAUCGGAACGUGCCCAGUCGUGGGGGAUAACUACUCGAAAGAGUAGCUAAUACCGCAUACGAUCUAUGGAUGAAAGCGGGGGACCGUAAGGCCUCGCGCGAUUGGAGCGGCCGAUGUCAGAUUAGGUAGUUGGUGGGGUAAAGGCUCACCAAGCCAACGAUCUGUAGCUGGUCUGAGAGGACGACCCGCCACACUGGGACUGAGACACGGCCCAGACUCCUACGGGAGGCAGCAGUGGGGAAUUUUGGACAAUGGGCGCAAGCCUGAUCCAGCAAUGCCGCGUGCAGGAAGAAGGCCUUCGGGUUGUAAACUGCUUUUGUACGGAACGAAACGGCUCUGGUUAAUACCCGGGGCUAAUGACGGUACCGGAAGAAUAAGCACCGGCUAACUACGUG
rnacentral:rRNA from 1 species